GACGAACGCUGGCGGCGUGCCUAAUACAUGCAAGUCGAACGCACUCUCGUUUAGAUUGCAGGAGUUUGCUCCUGAUUGAUAAACAUUUGAGUGAGUGGCGGACGGGUGAGUAACACGUGGGUAACCUGCCCUAAAGUGGGGGAUAACAUUUGGAAACAGAUGCUAAUACCGCAUAAAACCUAACACCGCAUGGUGUAGGGUUGAAAGAUGGUUUCGGCUAUCACUUUAGGAUGGACCCGCGGUGCAUUAGUUAGUUGGUGAGGUAAAGGCUCACCAAGACCGUGAUGCAUAGCCGACCUGAGAGGGUAAUCGGCCACACUGGGACUGAGACACGGCCCAGACUCCUACGGGAGGCAGCAGUAGGGAAUCUUCCACAAUGGACGAAAGUCUGAUGGAGCAACGCCGCGUGAGUGAAGAAGGUUUUCGGAUCGUAAAACUCUGUUGUUGGAGAAGAAUGUAUCUGAUAGUAACUGAUCAGGUAGUGACGGGAUCCAACCAGAAAGCCACGGCUAACUACGU
rnacentral:rRNA from 1 species